rnacentral:rRNA from 1 species
AUUGAACGCUGGCGGCAUGCUUUACACAUGCAAGUCGAACGGUAACAGGCCGCCAGGUGCUGACGAGUGGCGAACGGGUGAGUAAUGCAUCGGAACGUGCCCCGUCGUGGGGGAUAACUACUCGAAAGAGUAGCUAAUACCGCAUACGAUCUAUGGAUGAAAGCGGGGGACCGUAAGGCGUCGCGCGAUUGGAUCGGCCGGUGUCCGAUUAGGUAGUUGGUGGGGUAAAGGCUCACCAAGCCAACGAUCUGUAGCUGGUCUGAGAGGACGACCAGCCACACUGGGACUGAGACACGGCCCAGACUCCUACGGGAGGCAGCAGUGGGGAAUUGUGGACGAUGGGCGCAAGCCUGAUCCAGCAAUGCCGCGUGCAGGAAGAAGGCCUUCGGGUUGUAAACUGCUUUUGUACGGAACGAAACGGCUCUGGUUAAUACCCGCGGCUAAUGACGGUACCGGAAGAAUAAGCACCGGCUAACUACGUG